rnacentral:rRNA from 1 species
GAGUUUGAUCCUGGCUCAGGAUUAACGCUGGCGGCGUGCCUAACACAUGCAAGUUACGGAAGUAUUUCUUCGGAGAUGCUUUAGUGGCGAAUGGGUGAGUAACACGUAGGUGACCUGCCCCGAAGCAGGGGAUAACGGCUCGAAAGAGCCGCUAAUACCCAAUAGGAUCGUAACGUCAAGUUUCGAUCAGAGCUAUGGCGUUUCGGGAGGGGCCUGCGGCCCAUCAGCUAGUUGGUAGGGUAAUGGCCUACCAAGGCAAUGACGGGUAGGGGGCCUGAGAGGGUAACCCCCCACACUGGCACUGACACACGGGCCAGACUCCUACGGGAGGCAGCAGUGAGGAAUAUUGCACAAUGGGCGAAAGCCUGAUGCAGCAACGCCGCGUGAGUGAAGAAGGCCUUCGGGUCGUAAAACUCUUUUCUGGGGGAAGAGAGAGGACGGUACCCCAGGAAUAAGGUUCGGCUAACUACGUGCCAGCAGCCGCGGUAAAACGUAGGAACCGAGCGUUAUCCGGAUUUACUGGGCGUAAAGCGCCUGCAGGCGGUCUCGUAAGUUGGACGUGAAAUCUCUUGGCUUAACUGAGAGACGCCGUUCAAUACUGCGGGGCUAGAGGACAGAAGAGGGAAGUGGAAUUCCCGGUGUAGUGGUGAAAUGCGUAGAUAUCGGGAGGAACACCAGUGGCGAAGGCGGCUUCCUGGUCUGUUCCUGACGCUAAGAGGCGAAAGCUAGGGGAGCGAACGGGAUUAGAAACCCCGGUAGUCCUAGCUGUAAACGAUGGAUGCUAGGUGUAGGUGGUCCUAACCCCAUCUGUGCCAAAGCUAACGCGUUAAGCAUCCCGCCUGGGGACUACGGUCGCAAGGCUAAAACUCAAAGGAAUUGACGGGGACCCGCACAAGCAGCGGAGCGUGUGGUUUAAUUCGAUGCUACACGAAGAACCUUACCCGGGUUUGACAUGCAAGUAGUAGUGAAGCGAAAGUGGAACGAUCCUUCGGGAAGCUUGCACAGGUGCUGCAUGGCUGUCGUCAGCUCGUGCCGUGAGGUGUUGGGUUAAGUCCCCUAACGAGCGCAACCCUCGCCAUUAGUUAUAAGUGUCUAGCGGGACUGCCGGUUUAACGCCGGAGGAAGGUGGGGAUGACGUCAAGUCAGCAUGGCCUUUAUAUCCGGGGCUACACACACGCUACAAUGGCCGGUACAAUGGGUUGCCAACCCGCAAGGGGGAGCCAAUCCCUUAAAGCCGGUCUCAGUUCGGAUUGGAGGCUGCAACCCGCCUCCAUGAAGCCGGAGUUGCUAGUAAACGCGCGUCAGCUAUAGUGCGUUGAAUACGUUCCCGGGUCUUGUACACACCGCCCGUCACGUCAUGGGAGCUGGCAACACCUGAAGCCGGUGGGCUAACCGAAAGGAGGCAGCCGUCGAAGGUGGGGCUGGUGACUGGGACGAAGUCGUAACAAGGUA